rnacentral:rRNA from 1 species
CAAAUCAGGUAGGACUACCCGCUGAACUUAAGCAUAUCAAUAAGCGGAGGAAAAGAAACUAACAAGGAUUCCCCUAGUAACUGCGAGUGAAGCGGGAAAAGCUCAAAUUUGUAAUCUGGCGGUCUUUGGCCGUCCGAAUUGUAAACUAGAGAAGUGUUAUCCGCGCUGGACCGUGUACAAGUCCCCUGGAAUGGGGCGUCAUAGAGGGUGAGAAUCCCGUCUUUGACACGGACUACCAGGGCUUUGUGAUGCGCUCUCAAAGAGUCGAGUUGUUUGGGAAUGCAGCUCAAAAUGGGUGGUAAAUUCCAUCUAAAGCUAAAUAUUGGCGAGAGACCGAUAGCGAACAAGUACCGUGAGGGAAAGAUGAAAAGAACUUUGGAAAGAGAGUUAAACAGUACGUGAAAUUGCUGAAAGGGAAACGCUUGAAGUCAGUCGCGUUAGCGAGGGAUCAGCCUUACUUUUGUGGGGUGUACUUCCUCGUUGAUGGGUCAGCAUCAGUUUUGGUUGCUGGAUAAAGAUCAGGGGAAUGUGGCAUCUUCGGAUGUGUUAUAGCCCUUGGUUGGAUACAGUGGCUGGGACUGAGGAACUCAGCACGCGCAAGUUGUGCUUAGGAUGCUGGCAAAA